UACGGGGGGGGCAAGCGUUGUUCGGAAUUACUGGGCGUAAAGCGCGCGUAGGCGGCUUUGCAAGUCGGGUGUGAAAUCCCCAGGCUUAACCUGGGAACUGCAUUCGGGACUGCAUUGCUAGAGUAUGGGAGAGGGCAGUGGAAUUUCCGGUGUAGCGGUGAAAUGCGUAGAUAUCGGAAGGAACAUCAGUGGCGAAAGCGACUGCCUGGACCAAUACUGACGCUCAUGUGCGAAAGCGUGGGGAGCAAACAGG
rnacentral:rRNA from 1 species